AGGGGAUCGCAAGACCUUGCGCUUUUGGAGCGGCCGAUGUCUGAUUAGCUAGUUGGUGGGGUAAUGGCCUACCAAAGCUUCGAUCAGUAGCUGGUCUGAGAGGACGGCCAGCCACACUGGGACUGAGACACGGCCCAGACUCCUACGGGAGGCAGCAGUGGGGAAUUUUGGACAAUGGGCGCAAGCCUGAUCCAGCCAUGCCGCGUGAGUGAAGAAGGCCUUCGGGUUGUAAAGCUCUUUCAGCCGGGAAGAAAAGGCUGCGAUUAAUACUCGUAGUUCAUGACGGUACCGGAAGAAGAAGCACCGGCUAACUACGUGCCAGCAGCCGCGGUAAUACGUAGGGUGCGAGCGUUAAUCGGAAUUACUGGGCGUAAAGGGUGCGCAGGCGGUUUUGUAAGUCAGAUGUGA
rnacentral:rRNA from 1 species